rnacentral:rRNA from 1 species
AUGAACGCUAGCGGCAGGCCUAACACAUGCAAGUCGAGGGGCAUCACGAGGUAGCAAUACUUUGGUGGCGACCGGCGCACGGGUGCGUAACGCGUAUGUAACCUACCUAUAACAGGGGCAUAACACUGAGAAAUUGGUACUAAUUCCCCAUAAUAUUCGGAGAGGCAUCUCUCCGGGUUGAAAACUCCGGUGGUUAUAGAUGGACAUGCGUUGUAUUAGCUAGUUGGUGAGGUAACGGCUCACCAAGGCAACGAUACAUAGGGGGACUGAGAGGUUAACCCCCCACACUGGUACUGAGACACGGACCAGACUCCUACGGGAGGCAGCAGUGAGGAAUAUUGGUCAAUGGACGCAAGUCUGAACCAGCCAUGCCGCGUGCAGGAAGACGGCUCUAUGAGUUGUAAACUGCUUUUGUACGAGGGUAAACUCACCUACGUGUAGGUGACUGAAAGUAUCGUACGAAUAAGGAUCGGCUAACUCCGUGCCAGCAGCCGCGGUAAUACGGAGGAUUCAAGCGUUAUCCGGAUUUAUUGGGUUUAAAGGGUGCGUAGGCGGUUUGAUAAGUUAGAGGUGAAAUCCCGGGGCUUAACUCCGGAACUGCCUCUAAUACUGUUAGACUAGAGAGUAGUUGCGGUAGGCGGAAUGUAUGGUGUAGCGGUGAAAUGCUUAGAGAUCAUACAGAACACCGAUUGCGAAGGCAGCUUACCAAACUAUAUCUGACGUUGAGGCACGAAAGCGUGGGGAGCAAACAGGAUUAGAUACCCUGGUAGUCCACGCAGUAAACGAUGAUAACUCGUUGUCGGCGAUACACAGUCGGUGACUAAGCGAAAGCGAUAAGUUAUCCACCUGGGGAGUACGUUCGCAAGAAUGAAACUCAAAGGAAUUGACGGGGGCCCGCACAAGCGGAGGAACAUGUGGUUUAAUUCGAAGCAACGCGAAGAACCUUACCUGGUCUUGACAUCCCUAUGAAUAACGGGCAAUGCCGUUAGUACUUCGGUACAUAGGAGACAGGUGGUGCAUGGUUGUCGUCAGCUCGUGCCGUGAGGUGUCGGGUUAAGUCCCAUAACGAGCGCAACCCCUACCGUUAGUUGCCAUCAGGUCAAGCUGGGCACUCUGGCGGGACUGCCGGUGUAAGCCGAGAGGAAGGUGGGGAUGACGUCAAAUCAGCACGGCCCUUACGUCCGGGGCUACACACGUGUUACAAUGGUAGGUACAGAGGGUCGCUACUCCGUGAGGAGAUGCCAAUCUCGAAAGCCUAUCUCAGUUCGGAUUGGAGGCUGAAACCCGCCUCCAUGAAGUUGGAUUCGCUAGUAAUCGCGCAUCAGCCAUGGCGCGGUGAAUACGUUCCCGGGCCUUGUACACACCGCCCGUCAAGCCAUGGAAGCUGGGGGUGCCUGAAGUUCGUGACCGCAAGGAGCGACCUAGGGCAAAACCGGUAACUGGGGCU